rnacentral:rRNA from 1 species
ACGCUAGCUACAGGCUUAACACAUGCAAGUCGAGGGGCAGCAUGGUCUUAGCUUGCUAAGGCCGAUGGCGACCGGCGCACGGGUGAGUAACACGUAUCCAACCUGCCGUCUACUCUUGGACAGCCUUCUGAAAGGAAGAUUAAUACAAGAUGGCAUCAUGAGUCCGCAUGUUCACAUGAUUAAAGGUAUUCCGGUAGACGAUGGGGAUGCGUUCCAUUAGAUAGUAGGCGGGGUAACGGCCCACCUAGUCUUCGAUGGAUAGGGGUUCUGAGAGGAAGAUCCCCCACAUUGGAACUGAGACACGGUCCAAACUCCUACGGGAGGCAGCAGUGAGGAAUAUUGGUCAAUGGGCGAGAGCCUGAACCAGCCAAGUAGCGUGAAGGAUGACUGCCCUAUGGGUUGUAAACUUCUUUUAUAAAGGAAUAAAGUCGGGUAUGGAUACCCGUUUGCAUGUACUUUAUGAAUAAGGAUCGGCUAACUCCGUGCCAGCAGCCGCGGUAAUACGGAGGAUCCGAGCGUUAUCCGGAUUUAUUGGGUUUAAAGGGAGCGUAGAUGGAUGUUUAAGUCAGUUGUGAAAGUUUGCGGCUCAACCGUAAAAUUGCAGUUGAUACUGGAUAUCUUGAGUGCAGUUGAGGCAGGCGGAAUUCGUGGUGUAGCGGUGAAAUGCUUAGAUAUCACGAAGAACUCCGAUUGCGAAGGCAGCCUGCUAAGCUGCAACUGACAUUGAGGCUCGAAAGUGUGGGUAUCAAACAGGAUUAGAUACCCUGGUAGUCCACACGGUAAACGAUGAAUACUCGCUGUUUGCGAUAUACGGCAAGCGGCCAAGCGAAAGCGUUAAGUAUUCCACCUGGGGAGUACGCCGGCAACGGUGAAACUCAAAGGAAUUGACGGGGGCCCGCACAAGCGGAGGAACAUGUGGUUUAAUUCGAUGAUACGCGAGGAACCUUACCCGGGCUUAAAUUGCAGAUGAAUUACGGUGAAAGCCGUAAGCCGCAAGGCAUCUGUGAAGGUGCUGCAUGGUUGUCGUCAGCUCGUGCCGUGAGGUGUCGGCUUAAGUGCCAUAACGAGCGCAACCCUUGUUGUCAGUUACUAACAGGUUCCGCUGAGGACUCUGACAAGACUGCCAUCGUAAGAUGUGAGGAAGGUGGGGAUGACGUCAAAUCAGCACGGCCCUUACGUCCGGGGCUACACACGUGUUACAAUGGGGGGUACAGAGGGCCGCUACCACGCGAGUGGAUGCCAAUCCCAAAAACCUCUCUCAGUUCGGACUGGAGUCUGCAACCCGACUCCACGAAGCUGGAUUCGCUAGUAAUCGCGCAUCAGCCACGGCGCGGUGAAUACGUUCCCGGGCCUUGUACACACCGCCCGUCAAGCCAUGGGAGCCGGGGGUACCUGAAGUGCGUAACCGCGAGGAGCGCCCUAGGGUAAAACUGGUGAAUGGG